AUGAGUUAAGUAUAAACCCCUUUACAAGUAACAAUUGGAGGGCAAGUCUGCUGCCAGCAGCCGCGGUAAUUCCAGCUCCAAUAGCGUAUAUUAAAGUUGUUGCAGUUAAAAAGCUCGUAGUUGGAUUUCUGUUAAUAAUUUAUAUUAGUAUACAUUUUUGUAUUUAAUAUGAUAUUAACAUAAUUCAUAUUACUAAUUUUAGUAUAUGAAAUUUUACUUUGAGAAAAUUAGAGUGCUUAAAGCAGGCAAUUGCCUUGUAUACUACAGCAUGGAAUAAUAAUAAAAGAUUUUUAUCCUUUUUUUAUUGGUUCUAAGAUAAAAAUAAUGAUUAAUAGGGACAGUUGGGGGCAUUUGUAUUUAACAGUUAGAGGUGAAAUUCUUAGAUUUGUUAAAGACAAACUAAUGCGAAAGCAUUUGCCAAGGAUGUUUUCAUUAAUCAGGAACGAAAGUUAGGGGAUCGAAGACGAUCAGAUACCGUCGUAGU
rnacentral:rRNA from 1 species